GUACUUGUAGCUCAGCCGGAUAGAGCAACGGCCUUCUAAGCCGUGGGUCGGGGGUUCGAGUCCCUUCAAGUACG
rnacentral:tRNA from 1 species